GCGUGCAUGGAGGAGGGGGCGGGGAUCCCUCAACUGGGAAGGAAGGCUUCCCGUUGCCUAACUGAGAGAUCCCUGCCCCUUCCUGCUUGCACGCAAGCUCUGAUAAGCAGCAUGAAGCCUCCCUUCACAGCUGAGAGAUCCUUGCCCCCUCCUGCUUGCACGC